GCCGACAUAGCUCAUCAGGUAGAGCAGCACAUUCGUAAUGUGCAGGUGACCGGUUCGACUCCGGUUGUCGGCUCCA
rnacentral:tRNA from 1 species